rnacentral:rRNA from 1 species
CAUGCCACCCUGAAGGUGCCCGAUCUCGUCUGAUUUCGGAAGCUAAGCAGGCUCAGGCCUGGUUAGUACUUGGAUGGGAAACCACCUAGGAAUACCAGGU